AUCCCCUGGGGAUCUUGUUAAAAUGCAGAUUUUGCUUCAGCAGGUAGAUUUUGCAUUCCUUCCAGAUGGGCAGAGCUGC
ensembl:miRNA Gm56469 predicted gene, 27420